GCCCGAGUGGCGGAAUUGGUAGACGCAACGGACUUAAAAUCCGUUGAGGCUUGUCCUCGUGUCGGUUCGAUUCCGACCUCGGGCACCA
rnacentral:tRNA from 1 species